rnacentral:lncRNA from 1 species
CACUCCUGACUCCCUUGAGAAACUUUGUUCUUCCAAUUAGUUAAAGGAGGUCCCCCAAUGUUGGCCUGAGACCUGCAAAACAAUGUCAUGUUGCAAGAAAUUGAAAAAAAAAAAAAAACUAGCCGUAACAUGUUUGAGAAGUUUAGCACCUAAACUUUAGUGAACUUUAUCCAAAAACUUAUUGGACAAAGAAAUCAAACAGUAAUAUGAGCCGAAAAUGACUCAGCCAUUUGUUGUGCAUUUAGCAAAAGCCUCCAAACAGCCACAGUCUAAAGAUCAAGCAGAACAUAUCAAUGAGCUACAAGAAGACUAGGAAGAUCUUUGAACUUGCCUGUUCUUCUGUUUUAUCAUGCGCAACCUCUUUGUUUUCAUUUUUGACAUGUACACCACCGCACUGCUCCUUUAGUGUUGCCUUUUAAGAACUUUCCUCCCACGUUUAGGCUCCCUUGCAUUAAUUGGAUGACUCUUUACAGCUAGGGAUGUCUCCAGAAAAAUAGUUUGUUCGUAUAUCAAGUAAAACAAGGCUCACUUUGUAAGUAUUAACAUAAAGUGCAUUGUCAUAGGUAAAAAGUUAGCAUUGCAAAUGCCAAGCUACUCAAUUUUUUCAGUUGCAAUAUCAUAUGAAACCAAGAUUCCAUUGUUCACUCUCCACAAAAUUUCGCCAUUUUUCCUUGAAGCUAUUGGCUUCACCAAGAAAUCAUCAGAUAACGAAUAAAAAUCAUCAACACCAACAUUGAAUGUAAUGCGGUUACUGAUGCUGAAUUGCUUCACCCAUGAUUCUGGAUCACCAUAUUCUUUCAUCCUCCAAAUAUCAAUUGUUUUGUCCUUAUCAAACAAAUGAUCAGCCAAACAAAGCGACUCCUCUGAAACAAAAAGGUUAAACCAAUCCGCGUAAAACAAAAACAUCUGAGCUAAACUACCUGGUACCAUCAUCUCCCUAAACGUCUUUUCAUGCACAUCAAACAGAACAAUCAUCGCACUCGGAAACUCUCCUUGUUUCGAUUAAAUAGCAACCCAAUGGCAAGCCCCAUUCACAUAGACUCCUGGUUUCUGCUUAUAAAAUUUAUAGGACGGAGCAACAUGAGUGAUGUCUUUCCAAACACCAGUACUCAGCUUAUAAACCUCUAACAUAUGGUAGUACCGUAUUAAUAUUAAGUACUAUUCUUACCACCUUAUAGUCAUUAGUAACACGAUCAUAUCCAAAGCCCAAGCGUAUGAUCAAAAGGUGGACCAUACUUCUCAUACAUAAAAAUUGGUGUGGGUAGUUUUACCGACUUUCUAAUAGACGGACUCCAAAGAUAAUAAAAUUCCAAUAUCUAUAUAGGUCAUCAGAGAGGCACAAAAGUCCGAUACAACUACCCACAAUAUUGUAACCCACAAUAUUAAAGUGACUUCCCAACGUAUCAAAUGGCUCAUCAAAUUGGACAAACUCAUCAAACUUUUUGUUAUCAUAGGAUAAAGCAUAAAUAUCUUUUACUGGUUCUUCUUGGUUUUUUUUGUUGUUGAGGUGGAUGGAGAUAAAAGUAGGGCUAGUAAUAAGAGAAUAACCAUGACUUGCAUACAGUUGUGCAUUGAAUUAUUGAAUUUGUGGGCAAUUUAAAAAAGAUUUCAAUUAGUACCUCUUUUGGCAAAUAGUCAAGACAUAUUGCUUGUGUGAAAAAUCAGUGCGAUUUCCUUUCCCCUGAAAAGCCCUAAUUGCUUGACUUUCAUCUCAGUGAGCAAAAACUGAAAUUUAUCCUCAUCCAAAAUCAUCAUUUCCUUUCUAACCCCAAAACUUGAGAUUAGUGUAUUUUUAACCCUUCACUUUUUUUCUAUUUGACCUUAACUUUUUAAAUGGAUUUUAGGAGUGUGGUUAAAU